AGCAAAUGGCUAAACAAUUUUUCCCUUCAAGGUAGACCACUCCUUUCCAUUCGAAACCAUUUAUUAUCCGAGUGUUGUUCAUGUUUGGUUAACUUGCAUUUUAAAUUGGUUCUGGCUUCUGACAUACUGUAAUCACCAAAUGUUAGAACUAAGGGAUGUUGUUGGGAGACAUAUGUAACACUUGUGCUCUGUCUCCUCAGCUGGAACGACGAAGAACUGGAUUGCAUGGCCGGCAACGGCAGCUAUGAAGAUUCCAAGCUUGUAGGGACAUGACAGAGAUAAUAGAUAUGCAAGCAAAAGGCAAAACAAAUUCAGACAGGCCUGUCUAUGAUCUCUGUCAUGACCCUUUGAGCAAAAUAAAUAAGUACUACACGGGUGAAAACUAUCAGUUUCCCCUUCUUGUCAUGAUAUAUAUUAUUCAAAAUUAUUGUCUUUAGAAGUUG
rnacentral:lncRNA from 1 species